AUUGAACGCUGGCGGCAUGCUUUACACAUGCAAGUCGAACGGCAGCGCGGGGCAACCUGGCGGCGAGUGGCGAACGGGUGAGUAAUACAUCGGAACGUACCCAGAAGUGGGGGAUAACGUAGCGAAAGUUACGCUAAUACCGCAUACGUUCUACGGAAGAAAGUGGGGGACCUUCGGGCCUCAUGCUUUUGGAGCGGCCGAUGUCUGAUUAGCUAGUUGGUNGGGUAAAGGCUUACCAAGGCGACGAUCAGUAGCUGGUCUGAGAGGACGACCAGCCACACUGGGACUGAGACACGGCCCAGACUCCUACGGGAGGCAGCAGUGGGGAAUUUUGGACAAUGGGCGCAAGCCUGAUCCAGCAAUGCCGCGUGAGUGAAGAAGGCCUUCGGGUUGUAAAGCUCUUUUGUCAGGGCAGAAACGGCUGAGGUUAAUACCUUCGGCUAAUGACGGUACCUAAGAAUAAGCACCGGCUAACUA
rnacentral:rRNA from 1 species